CCUACGGGUGGCAGCAGUGGGGAAUAUUGGGCAAUGGGCGCAAGCCUGACCCAGCAACGCCGCGUGAAGGAAGAAGGCUCUCGGGUUGUAAACUUCUUUUUUCAGGGACGCAGAAAGUGACGCUACCUGAGGAAUAAGCCAUGGCUAACUACGUGCCAGCAGCCGCAGGUAUACGUAGGUGGCCAGCGUUAUGCGGAUUUAAUGGGUGUAAAGGGCGUGUAGGCGGGAGUGCAAAUCAGAUGGGAAAACUCAGGGCUCAAACCUGGUCCUGCCUUUGAAACUGUGGUUCUUGAGUGCUGGAGAGGCAAUCGGAAUUCGGGGUGUAGCGGUGAAAUGCAUAGAUAUACGGAGGAACACCGGUGGCGAAGGCGGAUUACUGGAGAGUAACUGACGCUGAGGCGCGAAAGCGUGGGGAGCAAACAGGAUUAGAUACCCGAGUAGUC
rnacentral:rRNA from 1 species